rnacentral:rRNA from 1 species
GACGAACGCUGGCGGCGUGCCUAAUACAUGCAAGUCGAGCGGACGAAUCGAAAGCUUGCUUUUGAUUCGUUAGCGGCGGGCGGGUGAGUAACACGUGGGCAACCUGCCCUGUAGACGGGGAUAACACCGAGAAAUCGGUGCUAAUACCGGAUAACACGAAAUGUCGCAUGACGUUUCGUUGAAAGACGGCGCAAGCUGUCGCUACAGGAUGGGCCCGCGGCGCAUUAGCUAGUUGGUGAGGUAACGGCUCACCAAGGCGACGAUGCGUAGCCGACCUGAGAGGGUGAUCGGCCACACUGGGACUGAGACACGGCCCAGACUCCUACGGGAGGCAGCAGUAGGGAAUCUUCCGCAAUGGACGAAAGUCUGACGGAGCAACGCCGCGUGAGCGAAGAAGGCCUUCGGGUCGUAAAGCUCUGUUGUUAGGGAAGAACAAGUAACGCAGUAACUGGCGUUACCGUGACGGUACCUAACGAGAAAGCCACGGCUAACUACGUG